UACGUGAUGGACGGAGUAAGGCUAGUGGGAGCAGCGGUCGUGGAAGGGGACCAGGACAAGAAGGUCAACAUCUAUACAGACAGCAGGUAGAUGGCCUAAAGACCUGGAUCCACGCUUCCCACGUCAAAGCAGCUAACCUGACCAAGGAGGACAAGUGGAAGGUGAUGCAAUCUGGUGAUGACCCACUAAAAUGGACAUUUGUAAAACAUUUG